rnacentral:tRNA from 3 species
GCGCCAGUAGCUCAGCUGGAUAGAGCAACGGACUUCUAAUCCGUGGGUCGGGGGUUCGAAUCCCUCCUGGCGUACCA